AUAAGGAGUAAUCCUAUUUAGAUCAUGACACUGAGUCCUAAAGCCCAUAGUCAUGGCAGUGUGAAUGAUGAAAAAGUAUUUUCAUAAGAUUUCACAUUGGACUCAAGUCGAUUGAUUCUAGCAUAUGAUAAGAAUCAGGUUUGAUAAAUUAUCCUUAACCUCCAUCUUGUUGGGACUCACGAUAGAAGAACUGAAUUACACGACAACCGUACCUAG
rnacentral:lncRNA from 1 species